UUCUCACUCCACAUCGCAGUAGAUUGCGGCCAGAUACUUUGGAAUUAAUGAUUUGUUACCAAAACUGGCUAUGGAGUAAUUUGAAAGGUUCUUCGCCAUCAAUGGAUAUGAGUAAAAUGAUGGAGUAUUCCACCACAAUAUUGGAAGAUAUGGAUGUUGACAUUGAGCCAUGUGGUGAAAGUUAAUGAAGAUUGAUCAAUAUUAGUGGAAUGAGGGAUGAUGAAGGCGCUGUCUGGUAGUGGUUGAUUUUCUUACUGCAGAAUUUUAUCCGGAGCUAUUGACCUAUUUUGGGCACAACUGAAAUUUAUUUCCUCUGGAUUACAUUGUUUAAUGGAAAUCUUAAUGUACCAGAGCGGUUUUUUGGGUAGUUGUUAUCAGUUUGUGGAUUCUUGGUAUUGUAGACAUGUUUUUAAAUUGCUGCUACCAUUUUGGUUUUGUAGACAUGUUUUUAAAUUGCUGCUACCAUUUUGGUAUUUGAGACUAUUUUUCUUUUAGCCUACCAGUUGUGCUUUUCAGUGAGUAGUAAGACAAUUAUUUGGCA